GACGAACGCUGGCGGCGUGCUUAACACAUGCCAGUCGAACGGAAAGGCCCUGCUUUUGUGGGGUGCUCGUGUGGGGAACGGGUGAGUAACACAUGAGUAACCUACCCUUGCCUUUGGGAUAACUUCAGGAAACUGGGGACAAUACAGACUAGGAGCGCCUGCUGCACGGCGGGGGUGGGAAAGUUUCGGCGGUUGGGGCUGGUCUCGCGGCUUAUCAGCUUGUGGGUGGGGUAGUGGCUUACCAAGGCUUGGACGGGUAGCCGGCCUGGGAGGGUGACCGGCCACAUUGGGACUGAGGUACGGCCCAGACUCCUACGGGAGGCAGCAGUGGGAAAUAUUGCACGAUGGGCGGAAGCCUGAUGCAGCAACGCCGCGUUCGGGAUGACGGCCUUCGGGUUGUAAACCGCUUUCGCCUGUGACUAAGCGUGAGUGACGGUAAUGGGUAAAAAAGCACCGGCUAACUACGUG
rnacentral:rRNA from 1 species